rnacentral:rRNA from 1 species
UACAGAGGGUGCAAGCGUUAAUCGGAAUUACUGGGCGUAAAGCGUGCGUAGUCGGUUAUUUAAGUCGAACGUGAAAUCCCCGGGCUCAACCCGGGAACUGCGUCCGAUACUGGUGGGCUUGAAUUCGGGAGAGGGAUGUGGAAUUCCAGGUGUAGCGGUGAAAUGCGUAGAUAUCUGGAGGAACACCGGUGGCGAAGGCGGCAUCCUGGACCGAUAUUGACGCUGAUGCGCGAAAGCCAGGGGAGCAAAACAGG